GACAGAGGUGCCGAGCGUUAGGCGGAAUCACUGGGCUUAAAGCGUGUGUAGGCGGGCCGUUAAGUGCCCCGUGAAAUCCCCCGGCUCAACCGGGAAACGGCGGGGCAUACUGGCGGCCUUGAGCCACUUAAGGGCAGACGGAACAAGCGGUGGAGCGGUGAAAUGCGUAGAUAUCGUUUGGAACGCCAAUGGUGAAAACAGGUAGCUGGGAGUGUGCCGACGCUGAGACACGAAAGCCAGGGGAGCGAACGGG
rnacentral:rRNA from 1 species